UACAGAGGCCUCGAGCGUUAGGCGGAAUCACUGGGCUUAAAGCGUGUGUAGGCGGACUUCUAAGUACCUUGUGAAAUCCCACGGCUCACCCGUGGAACUGCGUCUGAUACUGGAUGGCUUGAGUUCGGGAGAGGGAUGUGGAAUUCCAGGUGUAGCGGUGAAAUGCGUAGAUAUCUGGAGGAACACCGGUGGCGAAGGCGGCAUCCUGGACCGACACUGACGCUGAUGAGCGAAAGCCAGGGGAGCAAACGGG
rnacentral:rRNA from 1 species